GCAAGAAUGAAACUCAAAGGAAUGACGGGGACCCGCACAAGCGGUGGAGCAUGUGGUUUAAUUCGAUGCAACGCGAAAAACCUUACCCACCUCUGACAUGGCAGGAACUUACCAGAGAUGGUUUGGUGCUCGAAAGAGAACCUGCACACAGGUGCUGCAUGGCUGUCGUCAGCUCGUGUCGUGAGAUGUUGGGUUAAGUCCCGCAACGAGCGCAACCCUUGUCAUUAGUUGCUACGAAAGGGCACUCUAAUGAGACUGCCGGUGACAAACCGGAGGAAGGUGGGGAUGACGUCAAGUCCUCAUGGCCCUUAUAGGUGGGGCUACACACGUCAUACAAUGGCCGGUACAAAGGGCAGCCAACCCGCGAGGGGGAGCCAAUCCCAUAAAGCCGGUCGUAGUCCGGAUCGCAGUCUGCAACUCGACUGCGUGAAGUCGGAAUCGCUAGUAAUCGUGGAUCAGCAUGUCACGGUGAAUACGUUCCCGGGUCUUGUACACACCGCCCGUCACACCAUGGGAGCGGGUCUCGCCAGAAGUAGUUAGCCUAACCUUCGGGAGGACGAUUACCACGGUGUGAUUCAUGACUGGGGUGAAGUCGUAACAAGGUAACCA
rnacentral:rRNA from 1 species